rnacentral:rRNA from 1 species
GAUGAACGCUGGCGGCGUGCCUAAUACAUGCAAGUCGAGCGAACAGACGAGGAGCUUGCUCCUCUGACGUUAGCGGCGGACGGGUGAGUAACACGUGGAUAACCUACCUAUAAGACUGGGAUAACUUCGGGAAACCGGAGCUAAUACCGGAUAAUAUAUUGAACCGCAUGGUUCAAUAGUGAAAGACGGUUUUGCUGUCACUUAUAGAUGGAUCCGCGCCGCAUUAGCUAGUUGGUAAGGUAACGGCUUACCAAGGCAACGAUGCGUAGCCGACCUGAGAGGGUGAUCGGCCACACUGGAACUGAGACACGGUCCAGACUCUUACGGGAGGCAGCAGUAGGGAAUCUUCCGCAAUGGGCGAAAGCCUGACAGAGCAACGCCGCGUGAGUGAUGAAGGUCUUCGGAUCGUAAAACUCUGUUAUUAGGGAAGAACAAAUGUGUAAGUAACUAUGCACGUCUUGACGGUACCUAAUCAGAAAGCCACGGCUAACUACGUG